rnacentral:rRNA from 1 species
UACGUAGGGUGCAAGCGUUGUCCGGAAUUAUUGGGCGUAAAGAGCGUGUAGGCGGCCUCGUAAGUCCGCUGUGAAAGUCCAGGGCUCAACCCUGGAAAGCCGGUGGAUACUGCGAGGCUAGAGUCCGGAAGGGGCGAGUGGAAUUCCUGGUGUAGCGGUGAAAUGCGCAGAUAUCAGGAGGAACACCGGUGGCGAAGGCGGGUCUCUGGGCCGUAACUGACGCUGAGGAGCGAAAGCGUGGGGAGCGAACAGG